rnacentral:rRNA from 1 species
UACGGAGGGUGCAAGCGUUGUUCGGAAUUAUUGGGCGUAAAGCGCGUGUAGGCGGUUUGUUAAGUCUGAUGUGAAAGCCCUGGGCUCAACCUGGGAAGUGCAUUGGAAACUGGCAGACUUGAAUACGGGAGAGGGUAGUGGAAUUCCGAGUGUAGGAGUGAAAUCCGUAGAUAUUCGGAGGAACACCGGUGGCGAAGGCGGCUACCUGGACCGAUAUUGACACUGAGACG